rnacentral:rRNA from 1 species
UACGUAGGUGGCAAGCGUUAUCCGGAAUUAUUGGGCGUAAAGCGCGCGCAGGUGGUUUCUUAAGUCUGAUGUGAAAGCCCACGGCUCAACCGUGGAGGGUCAUUGGAAACUGGGGAACUUGAGUGCAGAAGAGAAGAGCGGAAUUCCACGUGUAGCGGUGAAAUGCGUAGAGAUGUGGAGGAACACCAGUGGCGAAGGCGGCUCUUUGGUCUGUAACUGACGCUGAGGCGCGAAAGCGUGGGGAGCAAACAGG